UAAGGAAUAUUGGUCAAUGGACGCAAGUCUGAACCAGCCAUGCCGCGUGAAGGAUGAAGGUCCUCUGGAUUGUAAACUUCUUUUAUCUGGGACGAAACCCUCGAAUUCUUUCGGGAUUGACGGUACCAGAGGAAUAAGCACCGGCUAACUCCGUGCCAGCAGCCGCGGUAAUACGGAGGGUGCAAGCGUUAUCCGGAUUCACUGGGUUUAAAGGGUGCGUAGGAGGGCAGGGAAGUCAGUGGUGAAAUCUCCGGGCUUAACUCGGAAACUGCCGUUGAUACUCUCUGUCUUGAAUCCCGUGGAGGUGAGCGGAAUAUGUCAUGUAGCGGUGAAAUGCUUAGAUAUGACAUAGAACACCGAUUGCGAAGGCAGCUCGCUACACGAAGAUUGACUCUGAGGCACGAAAGCGUGGGGAUCAAACAGGAUUAGAUACCCUGGUAGUCCACGCCCUAAACGAUGGAUACUCGACAUACGCGAUACACAGUGUGUGUCUGAGC
rnacentral:rRNA from 1 species